GAUGAAGAACGUAGCAAAAUGCGAUACUUGGUGUGAAUUGCAGAAUCCCGUGAACCAUCGAGUUUUUGAACGCAAGUUGCGCCCGAAGCCUUUUGGCCGAGGGCACGUCUGCCUGGGCGUCACGCAUCGUGUCGCCCCCCACAAAUUCUCCGUCAGGGGAGCUUGUGUUUCGGGGGCGGAUACUGGUCUCCCGUGCUCAUGGCGCGGUUGGCCGAAAUAGGAGUCCCUUCGAUGGACGCACGAACUAGUGGUGGUCGUAAAAACCCUCGUCUUUUGUUUCGUGCCGUUAGUCGCGAGGGAAGCUCUUCAAAAACCCCAACGCGUCGUCUCUUGACGGCGCUUCGACCGCGACCCCAGGUCAGGCGGGACUACCCGCUGAGUUUAAGCAUAUCAAUAAGCGGUGGA
rnacentral:misc_RNA from 1 species